AUGGCGGCAGUCGGAGCGGCACCACUGCUCUACCAGCAGCAGGCGCAGGCGGCGGGGGACGGCUGCUACUUCUCUUUCAUGUCCGCCUACUUCUCUAACGGGGAAGCCAGCUCGAACGCCUCCAGCCCAGCGUCCAGCUUCUCGGCCGCGCUCGGCGCCACACCGCCCGCUGCACCGGUGAUCGCCGCCGACCCCGCGGCACAGUUCGACAUCUCCGAGUACCUCUUCGACGAGGGCGCGUUCUCUGCAGCGCUCCCGCCCGUCGUCUCCGUGCCGGCCGUUGACGCGGCUGCUGCAAGUUCGGCGACCGCGGUGACUGCGAGGAGCGCCGAGUCGGCGGCGGCGGCGGAGCGCCCGCGGACGGAGCGCAUCGCGUUCCGGACGAGGUCGGAGGUCGAGAUCCUCGACGACGGCUACAAGUGGCGCAAGUACGGCAAGAAGUCCGUCAAGAACAGCCCAAACCCAAGGAACUACUACCGGUGCUCGACGGAAGGGUGCAACGUGAAGAAGCGGGUGGAACGGGACCGGGACGACCCGGCGUACGUGGUGACCACGUACGAGGGCACGCACAGCCAUGUGAGCCCCAGCACCAUCUACUACGCCAGCCAGGACGCCACCUCCGGCCGCUUCUUCAUCGCCGGCACGCACCCGCCGCCAGGCUCACUGUUGUAG
rnacentral:rRNA from 1 species